GACGAACGCUGGCGGCGUGCCUAAUACAUGCAAGUAGAACGCUGAAGAGAGGAGCUUACUCUUCUUGGAUGAGUUGCGAACGGGUGAGUAACGCGUAGGUAACCUGCCUUGUAGCGGGGGAUAACUAUUGGAAACGAUAGCUAAUACCGCAUAACAAUGGAUGACACAUGUCAUUUAUUUGAAUGGGGCAAUUGCUCCACUACAAGAUGGACCUGCGUUGUAUUAGCUAGUAGGUGAGGUAAUGGCUCACCUAGGCGACGAUACAUAGCCGACCUGAGAGGGUGAUCGGCCACACUGGGACUGAGACACGGCCCAGACUCCUACGGGAGGCAGCAGUAGGGAAUCUUCGGCAAUGGGGGCAACCCUGACCGAGCAACGCCGCGUGAGUGAAGAAGGUUUUCGGAUCGUAAAGCUCUGUUGUAAGUCAAGAACGGGUGUGAGAGUGGAAAGUUCACACUGUGACGGUAGCUUACCAGAAAGGGACGGCUAACUACGUG
rnacentral:rRNA from 1 species